rnacentral:lncRNA from 1 species
AUGGACGGUUCUGUGUGCUGGGUGUUUUGGGCGCUCUGGUUGCUGGGGGGUCCCCCGACGCGGGUGCUGGCUGCUUCAGACUCCAAGGGUACGCAACCCUCCUCCUCUUCCUCCUCCUCGACCAUCCUACAAGCUCUGCACUGCCCUCCCUGCGAGCGGAUCCACUGCUCCCCCCAGCGCACCCUCAAGCUCACGUGCACGGGGGGCAUCACCACGGGGGUGUGCGGCUGCUGCCCCACCUGUGCCAAGCUGGCGGGGGAGAGCUGCGGGGGCAGCUGGGACUACCUGGGCAGGUGUGACGAGGGACUGGUGUGUGUGCACGAGGGCUCCACGGGCACGGAACCAGAAGCAGCGCUCAAGGGGACCUGCAAGUCAGUGCUGGAUGUGGAUACCUGCCGCCUGGAUUGCACUUGGGAGUUCUGCCAGGCCAACCCGCAUGAGAUCUGCUCUGCCAGGUCCGUGUCCCUGGAGAAGCAGGAGUGCCAAGGCUCCUGUCAGCACACGUCCUGCUCCAGCUGCCUGGUCCUGCAGCCCCCGCGCUGCCCUCAGUCCUGCGGCCCCACCGACGACUCCUGCCUACAGCACCACGGACGCUGCAUCCAGCGCCACCUGGCCGAGACGCACCACCCCCCCACCUGCCACCAAAACCUAAAGAGCAACUCUGAAGGCUAUUUCGUGUGCUUGGUCCCCCCCUGCCUGAACACCGUCAAAUAA